GAUGAACGCUGGCGGCGUGCCUAAUACAUGCAAGUCGAGCGAAGCGGGGCCGCGUGCGUAACACGUGGAUAACCUCCUAUACGACUGGGAUACCUUCGGGCCCCCGGAGCUAAACCGGUUACUUAUAGAUGGAUCCGCUCUGCGUUAGCUAGUUGGUAGGGUAACGGCUUACCAAGGCAACGAUACAUAGCCUACCUGCGAGGGGGAUCAGCCACACUGCAACGGAGACACGGUCCAGACUCCUACGGGAGGCAGCAGGAGGGAAUCGAACGCAAGGGGCGAAAGCCUGACGGAGCAACGCCGAGUGAGUGAUGAAGGUCUGGGGAUCGUAAAACUCUGUUAUUAGUGAAGCGGUACCGAAUCAGAAAGCCACGGCUAACUACGUGCCAGCAGCCGCGGUAAUAC
rnacentral:rRNA from 1 species